AAAAAGACAAAUUCUAGGUUUGUAUCCAACGUUUGACUAUCCGUCUUAUAUAAAAUUUUUUUAUAAUUAGUAUUUUCAUUGUUGUUAGAUGAUAAAACAUGAUUAAUACUUUAUGCGUGACUUGUCUUUUUAUUUUUUUCAAAUAAGACGGACGGUCAAACGUUGGACACGGAAACCCAGGGUUUGUCUUUUU
rfam:Oryza barthii chromosome 5, whole genome shotgun sequence.